AGGUACCCAGAUAAGCAAACAGUGUUAAGAGUGUGGGAAGAAGGCAAUCCGUACUCCAAAGCGUUAUCUUCCUCAUCUUUUGUGGCAGUUAUUCUUCUAACAGGAGGACACUUGGGUCUAGGAGCUGAUACCACAUCCUUUAUGCAAUUCCCUGCAUAAUCACAGAAAGCCAUUAGAAGGGUCAUUUGCCUAGCCAAUUUGCCAUGCCCACUCCAGAAUAGCAGAGGAAGAAAAGCAGUGUAAAAGGGCACAGAAACAACACAGGACAACCCAGAGAAUACAGCAUCCAAAAAUCCAUGCUCAUACUUCUGGAUCUGUAUAAUAAGAGGAGUGCCAGUGAUGACAUGAUGGGUCACCCAAGGUUGAACCAAAGAUCUAAUCAUUUGGGUCACGUUGAGACAUGAAGAAAUAACAAUCCAUGACAAAAUCCCAGCAAGAGUCACCCCUUGCCACAAUGCUAUGCUCUCCAUUAAUCUCUCACUUUCCCUCUAUACCCAGAAACAAGAAGGAUCAAAAAAGGAAAACAACAGAAAUUGGGAAGCACAAAGUUUGAAGUUUGAAAACUGUUGGCCAGACUUUGGCACAGAAGUCAGGAGGAGGAAACUGGGUUCUAAAUUUUCCCUUUUCU
rnacentral:misc_RNA from 1 species